AUCGCUUGGGGGAAACACCUGCAGGGCUUGGCUUUGCACUGUGCCAAGGAUAGAAGCACAAGAUUGAAAAAGGUGAGCAGGAUGGGGAAUGUUGCAGUGUUCACUCCACUAUCUCAGAGGAAGGGGGCCUAAGAGAAGGACAGCGUAGCAUCCCUCCUGCUACCUCUUACUCAGAAGUAUCUGUUUGAAGAAUUGAGUGUGGUCAAACAUCUUCUACUGCUCCUCUGGAGCUCAUUGAAGGGUCUCUACUGGCUUCCAUUGGAAUUGGGUCAGGCCUUCGGUUUGGGGAAGCAGCAGUCGCACCAGCAUUGUGUCCAGCGAUGCCCACAAUCCAAGGAAAAUGUUGAGAAAUUGGAGAGGAUUCAGAGAAGAGCCACGAGAAUGAUUCAAGGAUGAGAAAACCUCCCUUAUAGUGAUAGACUUGAAGAGCUCC